UAGGGAAUCUUCGGCAAUGGGGGGAACCCUGACCGAGCAACGCCGCGUGAGUGAAGAAGGUUUUCGGAUCGUAAAGCUCUGUUGUUAAGGAAGAACGAGUGUGAGAAUGGAAAGUUCAUACUGUGACGGUACUUAACCAGAAAGGGACGGCUAACUACGUGCCCGCAGCCGCGGUAAUACGUAGGUCCCGAGCGUUGUCCGGAUUUAUUGGGCGUAAAGCGCGCGCAGGGGGUUAGAUAAGUCUGAAGUUAAAGGCAGUGGCUCAACCAUUGUAGGCUUUGGAAACUGUUUAACUUGGGUGCAGAAGGGGAGGGGGGAAUUCCCUGUGUAGGGGUGAAAUGCGUAGAUAUAUGGAAGAACACCGGUGGCGAAAGCGACUCUCUAGUCUGUAACUGACGCUGAGGAACGAAAGCGUGGGGGGCGAACAGG
rnacentral:rRNA from 1 species